AUUUCUUGACUUCUAACACUGUACACAUCAAUCGCGUUCGUAAGGUUUUGCUCGAGAAAAAAAAGUGAAAAAUGAAGGUUUUGUGUGAAGGACACUUGUUAUCGAUAACAUUGGGAUUAACGAUGAAAGCCAGAAAGGAGCUAAUAUUGACCAAUCAUUACAUUCGGAUGUAAAUUACCGGUAAUGAAAAAUGAUUCGGCCAUUUUUUGCAUUUGAGCAUCAAUAUCAAAUCAACGUCAACCUUGUCAUCAGCGCGUUCUGUCCAAGUGGAAAGAAGGGUGAUGUCGUCUGUCGGCAGGUCAUGGAUACACCAAUACAUCCAACAGGAAAACGGACGUCCUAGGCUGUAAUAUUUAUGCAAAAAAUGCGGUGCGUUCGCCUACAUAGUGAAAAUGGGAUAGCCAAGAAGUAAAAAGUAAGGCGCGAAACGAAGGUAUGCUGGAACCCUACAGCGAGCACAAGGAAGUGAAAGUUCAUAUUAUUUUAGUAUCAGUAAUCAUCGUAACAUUUUUUUUUAUUCAAGCAACAUUGAAGUAUUUGAUUGACGAUGGCUGGUUAGCAACACUACGACGCAUCAAACAUGCAACUUGGAAUUCGAAGAUGGACAAGUUAUAUUCCUGGCAGACGAUUUCGUCGAUUUUUGUUCUACAUCUACCCUGUAGAUCCGAAUUUGUUUGAAUAUUUAACAAGCGACAAAUUCGGUUCUAGAGAGGUUUGUGUGGGGCAUUUGAUUUCAUCGAAAGUAGAGCGCAUCAUGACACUGAAUCGACGAAAUCAGCUAUUUUAAGAAAGCAUCAUAAGAUAUCAAGACUAGAUUGCUUUUUUUAUUCUACAUGGAAAUAACUCAAAACAUUAGGUUUCUUUUGUGGCUCCUUAGUGGGUUAGUUUAAUCUAGAUGCAGAAUAGAAUUAUUGCAAGACAGUUGUGGAAUAAAACCCCCUAUAAACUUCAUAUAACUGAAUCAAGCAUAUUUUAUAGUUCUUAUUAUACGAAAACGGAUUUGCUCAUUAAAUUAAUAUAAUAAUUACCAAGAUCCAAGAAUAACCUAAUAAAACUGUUGAAAACUAAUUGUGAUGCUUGCUUUCAAGAAUAAAAAAGGUGAUGAAACAAUUACAACGUCUUAUUAUAACAAUUAUUUGGUGAUUUGGAGUAAUAAACCAAUUAUUGUACAAUUAUGUUAUAAACAGAAGAAUGCUCUUUUGAUUAAGCCAAAAAAAAUCUUUUUUAUUUAUUUUAAUUGUUGAACUGUGCGAGUAUAAAUAAAUAAAUAUAUAGUUGGUAAACUAAAUUGCCAAGAGAAACAAUUACAAUAAUUUCACGCCGAUUUGGAGAUUUACUAUAGCACAUCGAAGGCAUUUUUUACAAUUGUGUGUUUUUUUAGAAUUGGAUUAUUCUAUUGAAACUAUGUAUGUUUCAUGUGUGCUUACCAUUAGAACAAGAUAUAGAACUUGUCAUACAUACCUCACUUUGGGGCAAUCCAUUGAGAUACCAUUGCAAGAAGUGGCAAUAGUAAACUCGAACUAUUACCUUUCAAACAUAUCAGAAAUUCCAGAUCAUAGUCAACAAUUAAUGAGUCGAAUUUGAUAUCAUAUUUUGUUAUAGCAGUGCCUCUAGGUUCGACUAGAAUACCGUAAUCUGAUGACUAGUUGUUCGCUAAGGCAAAGUUUAUCAAUAUGGGAUCCACGCACUUUAACCUCUGAGGAUGUUACAGUUCGGCUCUCUUAUUGAGCCCUAAAAGCUAUCUGGCUUUGAAAGCAUUUGAUAAAUCGUUUUGACUGAUUACCAUUUUUGACGUCUAUUCAAUUGGACAUCACUCUUUGUUCGGCCCAGCAUUUCAUUUCCAUAUUGAUUGUACAGUUAGAUAUACCACAGAAAGGUUCUGGGCCUAUAAACUGCUAUCCCGAAUCCUGUUAGCUAUCUCAUUUGCCAUUUCAUUCUCUUCAAUGCCAUAGUGAUCUGGAGCCCAGUAUGAGUUCACUGAGUUCCCUUGGCAGUUCCCUCGCAGUGAAAGAAUGUAUUCCCAGACAAGCUUUGAAGUACAUUUAUAAACACACAAUGCUUUGAGUGCUGCUUGACUGUCUGAGAAAAUACAUAUUUUGGCAUACCUGUAUUUUCUCGCAAGGCAAAUAUUUACGCAUUUAAAAAAUAGCAAGAAUCUCCGCUUGAAACACCGUAGGAUAGUGUCCCAUCGCCACUGACGUUUCAAUUCCAGGGCCGUAGAUUCCUGCUCCCGUUUGAACUCCAAUUUUUGAGCCAUC